UACGUAGGGGGCUAGCGUUGUCCGGAUUCAUUGGGCGUAAAGAGCUCGUAGGCGGCUGCUCAAGUCGAAUGUGAAAACUCGAGGCUCAACCUCGAGCCUGCAUUCGAUACUGGGCGGCUAGAGUCUGGUAGGGGGGAUCUGGAAUUCCUGGUGUAGCGGUGGAAUGCGCAGAUAUCAGGAGGAACACCGGUGGCGAAGGCGGGAUCCUGGGCCAGUACUGACGCUGAGGAGCGAAAGCGUGGGGAGCAAACGGG
rnacentral:rRNA from 1 species